UCAGACAUUUCUAAUGCUCAGCAAUAUG
rnacentral:piRNA from 1 species